CACAAGUGGUAGAGGAGCGUUCUGUAAGCCGUUGAAGGUUGUCCGGGAGGAUGGCUGGAGGUAUCAGAAGUGCGAAUGCUGACAUGAGUAACGACAAGGGGAGUGAAAAACUUCCCCGCCGAAAGACCAAGGGUUCCUAUCCCAUGCUAAUCAGGGUAGGGUAAGUCGGCCCCUAAGGCGAGGCUGAAGAGCGUAGUCGAUGGGAAACGGAUUAAUAUUUCCGUACCGGCAAUACUGCGAUGGGGGGACGGAGAAGGCUAGGCAGGCGCGGCGUUGGUAGUCCGCGUGAAAGUGCGUAGGCAGAAGAGUUAGGAAAAUCCGGCUCUUUAAUGCUGAGACACGAGACGAGACUCUACGGAGUCGAAGCUGUUGAUGCCCUGCUUCCAGGAAAAGCCUCUAAGCUUCAGGUAUUGACGACCGUACCCGAAACCGACACAGGUGGUCAGGUAGAGCAUACCAAGGCGCUUGAGAGAACUCUGCUGAAGGAACUAGGCAAAAUAGUACCGUAACUUCGGGAGAAGGUACGCUCUUGGGUGUGAAGGACUUGCUCCGUAAGCACACGAGAGUCGCAGUGACCAGCUGGCUGCAACUGUUUAUUAAAAACACAGCACUCUGCAAACACGAAAGUGGACGUAUAGGGUGUGACGCCUGCCCGGUGCCGGAAGGUUAAUUGAUGGGGUUAGCGCAAGCGAAGCUCUUGAUCGAAGCCCCGGUAAACGGCGGCCGUAACUAUAACGGUCCUAAGGUAGCGAAAUUCCUUGUCGGGUAAGUUCCGACCUGCACGAAUGGCGUAAUGAUGGCCAGGCUGUCUCCAGCAGAGACUCAGUGAAAUUGAAAUUGCGGUGAAGAUGCCGUAUACCCGCGGCUAGACGGAAAGACCCCGUGAACCUUUACUAUAGCUUGGCACUGAACAUUGACCCUACAUGUGUAGGAUAGGUGGGAGGCUUUGAAGCGGGGACGCCAGUUCUCGUGGAGCCAUCCUUGAAAUACCACCCUUGUAUGUUUGAUGUUCUAACGACGGCCCGUUAUCCGGGCUUCGGACAGUGUCUGGUGGGUAGUUUGACUGGGGCGGUCUCCUCCUAAAGAGUAACGGAGGAGCACGAAGGUUGGCUAAGUACGGUCGGACAUCGUACGGUUAGUGUAAUGGUAGAAGCCAGCUUAACUGCGAGACAGACACGUCGAGCAGGUACGAAAGUAGGUCAUAGUGAUCCGGUGGUUCUGUAUGGAAGGGCCAUCGCUCAACGGAUAAAAGGUACUCCGGGGAUAACAGGCUGAUACCGCCCAAGAGUUCAUAUCGACGGCGGUGUUUGGCACCUCGAUGUCGGCUCAUCACAUCCUGGGGCUGAAGUCGGUCCCAAGGGUAUGGCUGUUCGCCAUUUAAAGUGGUACGCGAGCUGGGUUUAGAACGUCGUGAGACAGUUCGGUCCCUAUCUGCCGUGGGCGUUGGAUAAUUGAGUGGAGUUGCUCCUAGUACGAGAGGACCGGAGUGAACGAACCGCUGGUGUUCGGGUUGUCAUGCCAAUGGCACUGCCCGGUAGCUAUGUUCGGAACGGAUAACCGCUGAAAGCAUCUAAGCGGGAAGCCGGCCACAAGAUGAGUUAUCCCUCAGACUAUAAGUCUGCUAAAGGGUCGUUG
rnacentral:rRNA from 1 species